AUUGAACGCUAGCGGCAGGCUUUACACAUGCAAGUCGAGCGAGCGGCGGACGGGUGAGUAAUAUCUGGGCACCUGCCUGAUGGAGGGGGAUAACUACUGGAAACAGUAGCUAAUACCGCAUCCCAUCAGAUCUGCCCAUAUCGGAUUAGCUAGUAGUUGGGGUAAUGGCUCACCUAGGCGACGAUCCCUAGCUGGUCUGAGAGGACGACCAGCCACACUGGAACUGAGACACGGUCCAGACUCCUACGUGAGGCAGCAGUGGGGAAUAUUGCACAAUGGGCGAAAGCCUGAUGCAGCCAUGCCGCGUGUGUGAAGAAGGCCUUCGGGGUGUAAAGCACUUUCGGCAAGGAAGCGUUACGCGCAGAAGAAGCACCGGCUAACUCCGUGCCAGCAGCCGCGGUAAUAC
rnacentral:rRNA from 1 species